CGUGCGCGAAGAUUUGGCUCGAGCCAGUGACCGGAGAUUCAUUGGAUCCACGCCGCGCUUGGCUGCUCGAGGACGCCGGGGAACAUAGGUACUCCUCCGCCGUUGCGUGCAGCUGGUCCACAGCGAUGACAGCUCCGGGUUGGAUCGGGAGAAGCCACCGCUUCCUGGAGUCCGGAGGAGAAAGGACAGCCGGUGAGGGACAGCCGCGUUGAAACCCCGGGCCAUUUCUCCGUGUAGACCGCAGGUUGUGCAGCAUCACUCGGUGUACGCUCCCUCUCCCCAAAGAAGCUCCUUUGCUCAUUGAUGGCUUUCUGUAGAAGAGCAAUGUUUACACCAUCAACACAGUUUAGCACACGGGCACGGACCAUCACGCCAACCCCUGUAAGACGAGAAGAUACAGAUAAAAGAAGGCGACAGAGGCAAAGAGUCCUGGAUGUUUCUUAAAUGGGUCCAGUGAUUCAAGAUUUAAUUUAAUUAAUGUGGGUGAAAUUGAGGCACACAAACAAUGAUAUUAAAAAGAACUAAGUACUGGGCCCCAAUUAUUGGGUUGAAGGGCUCCACAAACACGGUGUGGACGACCACGUGGUGCUCUUUUGAAGCAUGCUGAGCUGACAGUGUAGCCCUGGACUCCUCAGGCUGAUAGCAGACAAGUCUGAAAAAUUGAACAGUUGGGUUUAAUGUCUAAGUCAGCCUGGAUGAUACAGUUUAAUCUUUUCUUUUUAAGGUGUAUUAUAAUUAUAACAAAUGUAAUUUUGUGUAUUAUAACAUUAUUUCUUUGAGUAAUCACACUGGCACUGUUCUUCUUAUGUGAUGUCUUUGCAUUAAACAGCCACAUGGGCCAAAGACAAAUUUCCACCAAGGUGGACAAUAAAGUCGUAUUCUAAUUUAUUCAACAACAACAAAAACAGCAGUCAACAAUGAUAAUGUAGGAGGUGAAAUGUAACAAGUGUCACAACCUUGGAUUUGAGUGUGGUGUUUUUCUGUUAUUUUGUUAAAUGCCCUUUUUGUUUUACCCAUUACCUCUGUGUUCUUGUUGGCUGAACACAGAGCUGAGCAUUGAUUGCUUCCUUGUUUUCUGUUGUAUUUAGUUAAUUAUAUGCUUGUGUAUUGUCUGCAGCUUUACUUCCUGUUUUAUUUUGUAAUUUUGGUGAUUGGUGUUUUUGUCUAGCUUUGUUUCCUGUCUAUCUUGAUUCCAAAUGCGUCUCACUUGUGUUUAAUUGCCCUGCCUGAUUAUGUGUGUGGUGUGCCUCUGUAUAUAUUGCCCUCAGUUGUGUUCAGUCCUUGUGGGGUCAUCGUUGAUUGUGAGUGUUCUGUCUGAGCACUGGAUUACUCUGUGUUUUUACACUGUACACUUGUGUUUGUACUCUCACCAUGUACUCAUACAUAAGCCUGUUUUGUUGAUCAUAAUAAACCUUUUUAACUGCA